rnacentral:rRNA from 1 species
GACGAACGCUGGCGGCGUGCUUAACACAUGCAAGUCGAACGGAAAGGCCCGGCUUUUGUGGGGUGCUCGAGUUGCGAACGGGUGAGUAACACGUGAGUAACCUGCCCUUGACUUUGGGAUAACUUCAGGAAACUGGGGCUAAUACCGGAUAGGAGUUCCUGCUGUAUGGUGGGGGUUGGAAAGUUUCGGCGGUUGGGGAUGGACUCGCGGCUUAUCAGCUUGUUGGUGGGGUAGUGGCUUACCAAGGCUUUGACGGGUAGCCGGCCUGAGAGGGUGACCGGCCACAUUGGGACUGAGAUACGGCCCAGACUCCUACGGGAGGCAGCAGUGGGGAAUAUUGCACAAUGGGCGGAAGCCUGAUGCAGCAACGCCGCGUGCGGGAUGACGGCCUUCGGGUUGUAAACCGCUUUCGCCUGUGACGAAGCGUGAGUGACGGUAAUGGGUAAAGAAGCACCGGCUAACUACGUG